UCCGAUAACCAUUGGUUGCCGCUUAAAACGUCCCCGCCCUCAACCUGGGCUCUCUGCUCGUAUUGGCUGGCGCCGGCUUGGCUCGCCCACCAUCGACCUCUGUGAUGCUAUUGGCAGGCGGCCGGGGUCGUGCCCCGUUGCGCGUGAACAUGGAGCUGCAAUUGGAGGAGGUGGAGGCAGGAGCCGGGCGACCGCAGGCCCCGCUGCGGACUGAUUUCGCCUCGUCCCCUUUCGCUGCCGUUCAACCGAGUAGGAAAGCGGCUGUUAGGACGGAGCCGGCCACUCACAUUGCCGCCGCCGCAGGUGGAGGUGGUAGCGGCGCGGUGCCGGCCUAUUGCGGUAGCAGUGCGGGCGGGGACACGGCCACUUUCAUCGGGAGUGUGCCGGUCACCGUCUCCUUGGAGAAUUUUGAUGGUCAGCACAGAAUAGUAUGUGUGACUACAGAUGCUAAUGGAGGAACAUUGUCUUACGUGGGUCAGCUGAAUUCAGAUGUGAAUUUGGAAUUACAGGCUGCAGUAUCUCCACAGCCAUUGCUGCAGCGUGAUGGUGUGACUGCUAUUUCAACUGGCAACCCGCUGCUUCAGAUUCAUCCGUUGGAUGCAAGAUCACAGCGCCUGCAAAGUGUUAUUUUGGAGGGACAAACCGAAAGAAGUAGCAGUGCAAAGGAAGUUGAGAGUGAUGAACCCAAGAAGAGAAAAGGUGGUUGGCCAAAAGGCAAGAAAAGGAAACCUCAAAAAGAUUUUACUGCACCCCGGGCUCCUACUACAGGGUAUGUGUUAUUCCUGAAUGAACAGAGAGCCAAGCUGAAAAUUAAACAUCCAGAUCUCCCUUUUACAGAGAUUACAAAACUGCUGGGCACUCAGUGGUCACAACUGUCUCAGGAAGGCAAACAGAAGUAUAUUGAUGAAGCAGAAAAAGACAAGCAACGAUAUAUUGAGGAGCUGAAAGCAUACCAAAAUUCAGAGGCUUAUCAAGCUUUCCUGAAAAGAAGAGCAAUGAACAAAGUAAAAAACCUAUGUGGUGUGGAGUCUCUGGAUACCGAAUUUGAAAGUGAAAUGGUUGGAGUGUCAGAAAUUGGUGAUGAAGAUGACAAUGGCCUCUAUUGCAAAACAUGUAAUCAGUACUUUAGCUCUUUACAUAAUAAAAAGGAACAUCUUUUUGGAAGACAACAUCUGCAAAAUUUGACAGGAGAUUUUGAGAAAGAGGCAGCGGAGCUCUCCAAACAAGAAACGCAUUUGGGUGAUGAGGACUCAGGAGAUGAUGAUGACAGUGCAGAGCUCUCUCAGUUGUGUGCCCUGACGUCAAAGCAUAACUAUACAUCGCUUAAUCUAAGUCUUUUGGAGGAAUAUAUUUUCAAGCAGGUGAAGUUGAGAGAGUUAGAACUUGGUGAACUUGCAAAAUCUUUGGGGCAAGCAAAGGAUGAGUGUGAAAAUUUAAGUACACAGUUGGAAGCGUUGAAGAAUCAAAAGGUAAAGUUGGAAACUGAUCUUGCAAACCUGAAAGCCUAUGGAGCAUCAUUAGACGCACAACUGGACAGUUUAAAAAUGGUUCCAAUGCUCUUUCAAUUCCACAUUCAAAUAAUGGAUAAUGAAAGCAUCCAAAUUGCAACAACCUUUUGUUAAAAGUACUGUGUAUGAAGAAAAAAGAUAUGUUAACUGAUGAAGAAUGGAAACGAUUUUGAAGCAGCAGCUCAGAAAAAUGAUAGAAUGCAAUAUCUUUUACAACACGUAAGUGAAAGUAGUCUUCAUUUGUGGUUUUUCUACAAAUUUGUGAAUGUUUUUUCAUUUAAGUUAUUAGUAAUUAUGUACAGUAUAAUACAUGUACAAUGUACAUUAGUGGAAAACUACUUUGCCUCGUUUUUGAAAUUGUAGAAAUGUGAUUUUUUUUGUAAUACUUAUUUGCUGCCAGCUAUUCAAAAUGUUAAUUUUUUUGUAGAAAAUGUACAUGUGUAUCAUACCUGCUUUUUAAUGUAAAUUGGCUACUAAUUUUUGAAGCAUAUAUUAUGCUGACUUGCAAGAUUUCUUUCAGUUGGUAAUGCACAUUAUAUUGAACAUGAUUGUUCUUGGUGCCAAUGCAGAAGGCAAGAUUGCUAGUAAAUAGCCAUUGUCUAAUACAUCGGUUAGUUGGUGCUAUGUUAGUGAAACUAAUGAAUUGCACUUUCACAUAUGGGUCAUAUUGUAGAAUGUGUAUUUUUAAAUAAUGCCUAAGAAAACUAUGAAUCUGUUUUAUAGAUCUAAAGAAAUAUGUUUUGCCAUUUUAAAUGUUUACUAAAUCAUUGAGAACACAAUGUUUUCUAUAUAGUAUUGCUACAU